rnacentral:rRNA from 1 species
GUGAGGAAUAUUGGUCAAUGGACGGAAGUCUGAACCAGCCAUGCCGCGUGCAGGAAUAAGGUCCUAUGGAUUGUAAACUGCUUUUAUUCGGGAAUAAACCUCUUUACGUGUAGGGAGCUGAAGGUACCGAAGGAAUAAGCACCGGCUAACUCCGUGUCAGCAGCCGCGGUAAUACGGAGGGUGCAAGCGUUAUCCGGAAUCAUUGGGUUUAAAGGGUCCGCAGGCGGGCUAUCAAGUCAGAGGUGAAAUCCCACAGCUUAACUGUGGAACUGCCUUUGAAACUGAUGGUCUUGAAUUAAGUGGGCGUUGGCGGAAUAUGACAUGUAGCGGUGAAAUGCAUAGAUAUGUCAUGGAACACCGAAAGCGAAGGCAGCUAACGAUACUUAUAUUGACGCUCAUGGACGAAAGCGUGGGUAGCAAACAGGAUUAGAAACCCUAGUAGUCC